GGGGGCGGUGUGCAAGAAUGUGGCCUGAGACAGCUCUACUGUAUGCGUGGAUCCGUGUGUGUCUGGUGCCCGGAGCAGAGGAGCCGCGCAGGACGCGGAGAGCCCCGGCCUCGGGGGAGGUGGGCGCCCGCCCGCCCUCUCCGGGCAGCCGUCCCCUUCCCGGGGCGCUGCCGGGCACCCCGGGAGGCUGCCGGGGGACAGCGGAGGAAGGCUGCCGGAGUGAUAGCGGGCAGUAGUUGGAGGUUCUGCGGAGAAGACGGGGAGGCAGGCACAAAGAACAUUCCUGCCCGAUGUGCCUCUUUUCGAAAGGACUUCCUUCAAGCUUCCUAAGGACUGCAAGCUUCCAAAUGCCAAUGGGGGUGGGGGGGUGGGGAGAGAAACAGCUGAUGGGCUGGACGCCU